rnacentral:rRNA from 1 species
GGCGGCAGGCUAACACCUGCAAGUCGAGCGGUAGCACAGAGAGCUUGCUCUCGGGUGACGAGCGGCGGACGGGUGAGUAAUGUCUGGGAAACUGCUGAUGGAGGGGGAUAACUACUGGAAACGGUAGCUAAUACCGCAUAACGUCGCAAGACCAAAGUGGGGGACCUUCGGGCCUCAUGCCAUCAGAUGUGCCCAGAUGGGAUUAGCUAGUAGGUGGGGUAACGGCUCACCUAGGCGACGAUCCCUAGCUGGUCUGAGAGGAUGACCAGCCACACUGGAACUGAGACACGGUCCAGACUCCUACGGGAGGCAGCAGUGGGGAAUAUUGCACAAUGGGCGCAAGCCUGAUGCAGCCAUGCCGCGUGUAUGAAGAAGGCCUUCGGGUUGUAAAGNACUUUCAGCGGGGAGGAAGGCGAUAAGGUUAAUAACCUNGUCGAUUGACGUUACCCGCAGAAGAAGCACCGGCUAACUCCGUGCCAGCAGCCGCGGUAAUACGGAGGGUGCAAGCGUUAAUCGGAAUUACUGGGCGUAAAGCGCACGCAGGCGGUCUGUCAAGUCGGAUGUGAAAUCCCCGGGCUCAACCUGGGAACUGCAUUCGAAACUGGCAGGCUAGAGUCUUGUAGAGGGGGGUAGAAUUCCAGGUGUAGCGGUGAAAUGCGUAGAGAUCUGGAGGAAUACCGGUGGCGAAGGCGGCCCCCUGGACAAAGACUGACGCUCAGGUGCGAAAGCGUGGGGAGCAAACAGGAUUAGAUACCCUGGUAGUCCACGCCGUAAACGAUGUCGAUUUGGAGGUUGUGCCCUUGAGGCGUGGCUUCCGGAGCUAACGCGUUAAAUCGACCGCCUGGGGAGUACGGCCGCAAGGUUAAAACUCAAAUGAAUUGACGGGGGCCCGCACAAGCGGUGGAGCAUGUGGUUUAAUUCGAUGCAACGCGAAGAACCUUACCUGGUCUUGACAUCCACAGAACUUNCCAGAGAUGGCUUGGUGCCUUCGGGAACUGUGAGACA